rnacentral:rRNA from 1 species
UACGGGGGGAGCAAGCGUUGUUCGGACUUACUGGGCGUAAAGGGCGCGUAGGCGGCCACUGCAAGUCGGUUGUGAAAUCUCCGGGCUUAACCCGGAAAGGUCAAUCGAUACUGCAGGGCUAGAGUGCAGAAGGGGCAACUGGAAUUCUCGGUGUAGCGGUGAAAUGCGUAGAUAUCGAGAGGAACACCUGCGGCGAAGGCGGGUUGCUGGGCUGACACUGACGCUGAAGCGCGAAAGCUAGGGGAGCAAACGGG